rnacentral:tRNA from 1 species
GCCGAGGUGGUGAAAUUGGUAGACACGCUAGUCUUAGGAACUAGUGCCUCUGGCGUGCGAGUUCGAGUCUCGCCCUCGGCACCA